GAGCACGUAGGUGGGUUUGUAAGUCAGAUGUGAAAGCCUCCUGUUCAACGGGAGAAUUGCAUCUGAAACUACUGAUCUUGAGUGUAGGAGGGGAGAAUGGAACUUCUGGUGGAGCGGUGAAAUGCGUAGAUAUCAGAAGGAACGCCGGCGGCGAAAGCGAUUCUCUGGCCUAUUACUGACACUCAGUGUGCGAAAGCUAGGGGAGCAAACGGGAUUAGAUACCCCGGUAGUCCUAGCCGUAAACGAUGGGCACUAAGUAGAGGGGUUUU
rnacentral:rRNA from 1 species